rnacentral:rRNA from 1 species
UACGGAGGGUGCAAGCAUUAAUCGGAUUUAUUGGGCGUAAAGGGCGCGUAGGCGGUUUAGCAAGUCUUGCGUUAAAUCCCAUGGCUUAACCAUGGAAAUGCGCGGGAAACUGCUAGGCUAGAGUGUAGGUAGGGAAAAUGGAAUUCCACGUGUAGCGGUAAAAUGCAUAGACAUGUGGAGGAACACCGGAGGCGAAGGCGAUUUUCUGGUCUACUACUGACGCUGAGGCGCGAGAGCAAGGGGAGCAAAC